AGCUCUGGCUGCCAGACAGUGGGGGGACUUUGAGUUGCAGAUUAUUGCAGACUAAGCAGUCUGUCUCUGCAGCAGCAUACACCGGGGCUCUGGGAAUUGUCCAAAUUAGCUCAUUAAUAGAGACUAGGUCCCAGGCAGGAGUCGUGCUUGUCUCUCUCUUCCCUCUAUUCCAGGGCUGCACUCUCCUUCCUGGAAGUCUCCAGGAGAGAGCACCAUGCCCCCCUCCAUAAAGACACCACUCUGCUAACUAUGUACAAGUCAGGACAGGGAGUGGAGGAGGCACAGAGCAGGGACGCCUGCAGCCUAUUGUUCUCCUUGUGACCAUGACCACCAUGCAGUGUCAUAGCUGCUGCCGGGGUCGUACGGUGUGCAAUCCCCAUGUAACAUUCUACAGCAGUGGUGACCCAUGUGAAACCUCGUUUGCAGAUGGAAGAUUUCCUAAGGGAUCUCUCCAUCUGUACAACGGGGUCAUCCACAAAGAGAACAGUGAGGCCUACAGAACCCUGACUCCAGAAAAAUGGCUGCAUACAUCAUUUCAUUGAAAAAAGUACCUCCUCCUGUGUUAAUCAUGUAUCUUCCACGUGUAGUAUGUUUGGUUUAUGGUUGUUGACAUACUCAUUAUGUCAUAUAUUGGGACUCGUCCCUAUGUAAAUCAUCAAGUGUAAGACUAUAUGGGACUCUGAGCCUUGCUUUAGAGAAUUACCACCAAGUUGUACCAUAACUCAAUUUUUUUUAUUUUAUUUUUUGUUAUUUUUUUAUAGUACAGGUCAGGUGAAUCUCUUCACACUGUGAAUUCAUAUUACACACAGUACAGGUGGGCCUUGUGGCCUGUUUCUAUCACAACAACGUCUUCCUCUACUUCAACACAACUUGUUACAAUAACCUGGUAAACAACACUCAGUUGUUUUUCAGAGAUAUGGGGAGUUAAGUUUGAUUUCUGAGCUAUCUUUGUUGUUCUCUUUAUUGUAGUUUAGUAUUCUUUGAGCCAGCAAAUUCUCCUUUACCCUUCAGCUAUUUUUCUUCUUUCCCUGAGGUGGAGAGGAAGUAGCAGAGCUACUGUCUACUUGACAGAGCUGGUGUCACUAUGGUCAUAUGCGUUUUUACCCAGUGCCUCGUGAAGAUAACUUUGUGGACUUCUGAUGGAAACACAGAGGCUGCUGUUGCUGACUGGCAUUUCUCAAAAUGCUUGUUGGCUUGCUGUCAGGCCGGUGACCUGGCUUCUACACAUUGAGUCACUAACCAAAAACAAGUAUGCCGAUAAGGUCUUCUAUAUUUGAGACCUUCCUGAUCUACAUACUUUUUUGUUGGUCAUUGAGUCAAAGUAUUGAAGCCAGCGGGUCCUUGUAAUACCCAGGCAGCUAGCAUUUUCAGGAGGUCGACAGUGGUAGCCCCAAAAUAUACCUCAUGUAAACUUUGCUUUUAAAGUAUAUAUCAAGCCAAAACCAGUUCUAGUUUUCGAUAGAGUGGGGAA